rnacentral:rRNA from 1 species
GAUGAACGCUGGCGGCGUGCCUAAUACAUGCAAGUCGAGCGAACAGACGAGGAGCUUGCUCCUCUGACGUUAGCGGCGGACGGGUGAGUAACACGUGGAUAACCUACCUAUAAGACUGGGAUAACUUCGGGAAACCGGAGCUAAUACCGGAUAAUAUAUUGAACCGCAUGGUUCAAUAGUGAAAGAUGGUUUUGCUGUCACUUAUAGAUGGAUCCGCGCCGCAUUAGCUAGUUGGUAAGGUAACGGCUUACCAAGGCAACGAUGCGUAGCCGACCUGAGAGGGUGAUCGGCCACACUGGAACUGAGACACGGUCCAGACUCCUACGGGAGGCAGCAGUAGGGAAUCCUCCGCAAUGGGCGAAAGCCUGACGGAGCAACGCCGCGUGAGUGAUGAAGGUCUUCGGAUCGUAAAACUCUGUUAUUAGGGAAGAACAAAUGUGUAAGUAACUAUGCACGUCUUGACGGUACCUAAUCAGAAAGCCACGGCUAACUACGUG